CUUAAAUUAAUAUGUUUCUGUCUUUGUUUAGCACUUUUAUUUGGUUUAGGGUUAUGGUUAGGGUUAUUUGCUGGCUGUUUUAUUUGGUUUAUUCACUGAGGAGCAAUUGUAGGUUUAAUUUGUGUCCCGUUUCAAACCUUUUGCCAGUUUUGUAUUUUCUCACAAAAAAGAAUAUGUGUAUUCAUAGGCACUCGUCUUAUACCUUUAUAUAAUAAAUUCUGAGACCAGUGCCUGAUCAGUGGCUGUGUGCAUGGUGUGUGUAUUCAUUAAUUAACUGAAAAAUGAAUAAAAUAGUAUAUAAACUCUAAUUAUAC
rnacentral:lncRNA from 1 species